CCAUUCCACUAGGCGAAUUUUUUCGCUCAAAUCGACCUGCUUUUGUCAGCAUCGUUCAUCUUGUCAAUAAAAACGAUGCUGUCGAAAGAAAAUGUUGCUUUGCGACAGCAAUUUUACAAAGUAGAAGCUAUUAUCACCGCAAUCACCACGUUAAAGUAGAAGCUAUACUGCAAGUUAUGUCGACGAAUUAGGGAGAGGAUGUUUUCAGUAUGCUGAAUAUAUAGAUCUUGGGAAUCGGGCUACAGUUCAGCAGACAUACAAAAAAUACUGUAUGUCAUUAGAGCCUCAUUACGAAUGAUCUCUAACUGCUUUUCUGUUAAAGUUUCGUAUAUAAUUAAUUAAAUUAGCUAACAGUAAAACAAAUAAUGGAUAUUCUCAUUUGAAUAUUUAAAAAUAGUUGUUUGAGCAUAUAAGAAUUUGGCAAUUCUGGAACGUUGUGCUGUUCAGCAGUGGAAAUACCUAUAGCAUGCAUGUUCGAAAAGGUCCGGAUUACUCGAGGUUUUUUGUGGUCUUUGCUUCGAAAUUUGGUAUAAGAAACAUUGUGUAAUAAUAUAGAGUUUUAAUAAUAAUUCAC